UACGUAGGGUGCAAGCGUUGUCCGGAAUUAUUGGGCGUAAAGGGCUCGUAGGCGGUCCAUCGCGUCGGGAGUGAAAAGCUGGGGCUUAACCCCAGUCCUGCUUCCGAUACGGGUGGACUAGAGGUAGGUAGGGGAGAUCGGAAUUCCUGGUGUAGCGGUGAAAUGACGCAGAUAUCAGGAGGAACACCGGUGGCGAAGGCGGGAUCUCUGGGCCGAUACUGACGCUGAGGAGCGAAAGCGUGGGGAGCGAACAGG
rnacentral:rRNA from 1 species